rnacentral:misc_RNA from 1 species
AUAAAUUCAAAUUAAAAAAACUAUUCUGCAAGAAUACUAUCAGAUCAAAUUUUUUCUCUAAUGAUAUAGUCAACAUAUGGAAUAAUCUACCGAGUGAAGCAUAUGAAUGAUGAAAUUGUUUAUACAAAAGAUUGGUUCUUCAAUUUUUAUGUUAAAUAUGUUAUUUCCUUGUUAACUGUUGUCUUUCAUUAAUAAAGCAAAAAUAAAAAUACACAUAAUGACAACAGAUUUAUCUUUAGAAAUGUUCGCAUAAUUUUUGGUUUGGAUACAAAAGACCAAGUGAAAAUGAUACUGGAAAGAUUGUUUACCGUUUAACUCCUGUCCCAAUCUAACCUAGUGGGUUCAAAAAGAAGGGAACCCGCUGGAAACAUGAGUUGAUUAAAAGAAUCAGCCUUUUUUGAAUUAAUAGUCGAAGUGGUAACCAGCUAGAAGUCGUAAUCUGCUCGUAUGAAAGGAUUUCUCGACGUGAAAUUGUUAAUUUUAUUCAACAACGCCAAGAAACAGAGCUCGCUUAAGAAACAGAAAAGAAAGAGAAAGAUGAAAAAAGAUUCUG